rnacentral:ncRNA from 2 species
CAGAACUGGCGAUGCGGGAU